CGAGUUGGCCGGGUGGCCGCGGGAGGCGCACUCCCGAGGAAGGUCGGGGCUCCAUAGGGCAGGGUGCUGGCCAACAGCCAGUCAGGGUGACUUGCAGGAAAGUGCCACAGAAAAAAGACAGCCACAUAUGGUGAUGGUGAAACGGUGCGGUAAGAGCGCACCAGCAUAAGGGGCGACUCUUAUGGCUAGGUAAACCCCACCCGGAGCAAGGCUAAAUGGAGUAAAGGUUGCCCGCCGUAUCAGAAAUGAUAAUACUCCAGGUAGGCUGCAUAGAUGGAUGGCCACACAGGUAGAUUUAUCUACUGGACAGAACCCCGCCUACAGGCCAACUCGACGC
rnacentral:RNase_P_RNA from 1 species